UGAGGAAUAUUGCGCAAUGGGCGAAAGCCUGACGCAGCCACGCCGCGUGCAGGAAGACACCCCUCUGGGGCGUAAACUGCUUUUGUGCGAGAAGAAGGCGCUCCUCGGGAGCGAUUGACGGUACCGCACGAAUAAGGACCGGCUAACUCCGUGCCAGCAGCCGCGGUAAUACGGAGGGUCCAAGCGUUGUCCGGAAUCACUGGGUGUAAAGGGUGCGUAGGCGGAUUUGUAAGUCAGAGGUGAAAGCCCACGGCUUAACCGUGGAACUGCCUUUGAUACUGCAAGUCUUGAGUCCUGGAGGGGCUGGCGGAAUUCGUGGUGUAGCGGUGAAAUGCGUAGAUAUCACGAGGAACACCGGAGGUGUAGACGGCCAGCUGGACAGGUACUGACGCUGAGGCACGAAAGCGUGGGGAGCGAACAGG
rnacentral:rRNA from 1 species